rnacentral:rRNA from 1 species
AGGAUGAACGCUGGCGGCGUGCUUAACACAUGCAAGUCAUGGGGGCCCAGCAAUGGGCAACCGGCGAACGGGUGCGUAACACGUGAGCAACCUACCCAGGUGUGGGGGAUAGCUGUCCCAACGGACGGGUAAUACCGCAUACGCUCAACACGAGGCAUUUCGAGUUGAGGAAACCUCCGGGGCACCAUGAGGGGCUCGCGGCCUAUCAGCUAGUUGGCGAGGUAACGGCUCACCAAGGCUACGACGGGUAGCUGGUCUGAGAGGAUGACCAGCCACAUUGGGACUGAGAAACGGCCCAGACUCCUACGGGAGGCAGCAGUGGGGAAUCUUGCGCAAUGGCCUAAGGCUGACGCAGCGACGCCGCGUGAGGAUGACGCUCUUCGGAGUGUAAACCUCUUUUGCCUGGAACGAACUAUCAGCUUCAGCUGAUUUGACGGUACCGGUGAAUAAGCACCGGCUAACUCCGUGCCAGCAGCCGCGGUAA